GAGCAUGUAGCUCAGUGGUAGAGCAUGUGCUUAGCAGGCACGAGGUCCUGGGUUCAAUCCCCAGCAACUCA
rnacentral:tRNA from 1 species